AUUGAUUCCAUCUUUUCUCAGGAAGGUCCUGAAGGAAGUGAAUUUCUGGAUGGAAUAGCACGUCAAACACCCAUCGGUCGAGCUGGAGAGCCUGAUGAGGUUUCUUCAUUGGUGGCAUUCCUUUGCCUUCCAGCUGCUUCAUAUAUCACAGGGCAGAUUAUUUGUGUCGAUGGAGGGGUGACUGUGACUGUGAAUGUGAAUGGAUUGCGCUCAACUGGAAAUUAGACAAAUCCUCUUUGUUCUAGCCGGUAUUUCCAGUCAGUCAAGGUUUCUUUUUUCUUUUCUUUUCUUUUCUUUUUUUUAGAGUGCCAGAAGCUGUACUGAAAUCUUUCUUGUAUAAUAAAGUUGUGUCUUUUAAUCAUGAUAGUUUUAAUUAUGAAGCCAAUGCAGCGUACAAUUUCAUCUUCCAAAAACCCAAUUAGUCAAGUCACCAAAGAAAUAUUAUUUUGUAUUAAAUGGCUAUUCAAAGUUUGAAAAGGGUAACAGGUUGAAUUUACAGUGACUUUACUUGCAAUCCAAGUUUCCUUAUAGUUUAAGUCUGUGUGGCAAAGUAAAAUGUUUCCGAAUAAAUACCACUAACUGUUACUUAUAUGAUAAGACGAAAAUAGCAGCAGCCAGCAGUUCAACAAAAUUGGAAAAACAUGUGAAGAUGCAAAAAGCAAAGGUGGUCUCUACAGGGUAGCCCUUGUUACCGAUGGAACCAGAGGCAUCGGGGUAAUAAGAUGAUUAAUGUCUGAAAAGAAGAGGAUAAAAUCUGAGUUGUAUUUAUAAUAGGCUUGAUCUGGGAUACUUGCGUGCUGUAGAUUUUUUAUUAUAACAUACAUAUUAGUGCUACAAAAUAAUGUCCAAGAUACUCCUAAUUAAGCAUACCAAAAAGUAACCAUCAAUUUGUGCACUUACUACAUGUAUUUUCAAGGGAAAAUAACACUUAAUAUUUGGUCUAGCAAAAUUUUUUACCGCUUGGGUUAUUUAUAAAUUUUAAUAUCUUAUUUUGUCAAUUUUGUUAAAAGGUUAAUGAAAACAAGAAUAUUUUGUUAUUUGGUAAACAAUGGCAAAACAAGUAAGCCUUUAUUAAAUUAAAAGAAAGAGUACAACGAAUCAGAUUGGACAAAAUUAACCUUAUUUCUUAAGCAUAAGCUAAGGUCCAGUAAAAAGCAAUCGUCAAAAGCAAAACUAAGAAAAGGAUCAUGCAGAAACAAGUCAAAACCAAUAUAUCUUUAUUUUAGGGGCGGCAAAACAAAUAAACAAAUGGAAUUCAAAUCAAACCAUAAAUAAAUUGGCUCAAAAGUCUGUUGAUUUUGAUUUGAUUUAUUUAUUAAAUGAAUAUUUGGUUCAAUUCGUUUAAUUCCUUUAGUAGAAUUAAGAAACGAAUCGAACAUAAAUUUAUUUACUACUCAUGUAUUUUAUAACGAAUCGAGUUGACAAUGAAAUCGUUUAUAAAAAUAUAAUUACUGAACAAAAAUUAAGUAGAAUAUAAUGUAAAAAGAUCAUGAAUUUAACAUCUUACAAAAUACAAAUUUUAUAAUUUACAAUUACUAUAUUAGCCUUCAAACUUCAAAAUUUUUUCGUACAUAUUUAAGGAUAAAUAAGUUUAAUUGAACGAAUAAUAAAUGAAUGGAUCGUAUUUGAUUUGUUUAUAACCUAUUUAUUAAAUGAAUUCUAAACAAAUAAGUGAAUCAAUCUCCUCAAACUUGGAUUUGAUUCGUUUAAUUAACAAAUCGAAUCAAAUUCAUUUGUUUAUUAAACGAAUCAAUUUUUUCAAAUUCAAACCCAAUUAAUUCGUAUCGAAUAGAAUCAAAUAGGUGAAUCUUGACUCAGAUUGCCACCCCUUCAGCACAAAUGAAUUAAAAUUACUCUCGUAAAUCAACCGUCAACAUAAUGAAAAAAGAAUAAUUUUUACGAGUAAAUAUGACUUUUUGACAUAUGCACUGAUUUAAAAUGAUUAUCCACACAUUACUUUUUGCAACAAACAAUAUAUAGAAUUAUAUUCUAGGAAAUAAGCCAACCCCACCUUUAAAAGCUUCCAAACAAUCGAUAAGUACUCAUGUUCAUGCAGCGAGCUUGCAAAAAUUUGCUAUUUAUAAUUAUAUAUGUGUUAGAACAUUGUAUUGAAUAUUUAGGGUGUGUUUGUGAUUGAGAUUAAAUAAUUGUAACUUUUAAGUUACAACAUUAAAGUGUUUGGUAAACACUAAUUGCUGUAACUUAUAAAUUAUGUUAAUAUAAUUUUUUACUUGUAUAAUAAAAAUUAUAUUAUAUCUUUAAUAAUUUUAUCAAAAUUAUUAUUUAAAAUUUAUAUUUAUUAUAUAUUAUUAAUUUUUGUUUCAUAGUUACAGUUUUUUUUUCCACAUCAGUUGUAACUUAAAAGUUACAGCACCUCACUUCCAAAUAAGACCUUAAUUACCUAUAGUGUUUGAACCAUACUAAUAUUCUCAAUGUAAUAAAUAUAUUUUGUUGUAGUUUGAAGAACUUCAACUAAUGUAGUCAGUGUAUACCACUCAACCAACGAGUGAUUUGCCCGGCUCUUUACUCUUUAGUAGUAUUCUUAACUCUGUUUCUUGAUUAUCUUUUGCUUGAUGAGGCUGGUUUUUAUGCUUUUCUUGUUUUCUUAGUACAGACAUAACCUGAUCACGUAGUUGCCGCUGACUCUUCAGCUGAAAAUAUAGAUAGGCAGCAUAAGCCACAAGCAUGAUAUAGCUACUAAAUCUUGAGAGGGCCAAUUCAGACUUCCCAAAAUGCAGCUCGGUGUGUGUAGCAUGGAGAACAGCAGGGAACAAUAAACCCAUUACUGCCAUCAGCAAUCCAGAGUUCACUGAAGCAACUGCCUAUCAAUAAAAUUAGAGCAGUUUUAACCUCUCUGUUGACAAACUUAUAAAUGGACAUAAGAUAAACAAACUUAGUAAUGGACAUAAAGAGUUAAAGAACAACAAAGAAUUUUUCCCUUGGUUUAAGAUAUCAAAUGUGAUCAAAAUGCUAACAGACCUUACUAAACACUUGCUCCCUCUAUGCAUUCACAAGUCCCCCAUAGAAGAAAGCAGAGCCUAGCACCAGCAGCAUGUUUGAUAAAAUAGAACCGAGUAAUGAUUGUUGAACUACACGCAUCAUGUGCCCUUUUUAUGCUAAAUUUGAUAUUAUCAAUUCUGUUAAAUUUCUGAAAGUAGUAUUUAGUAGACCUCCAACUGCAAAUGGCAUUAAGAGGAUAUUUUAUCAUUGAGUAAUCCCGGUAAACGAAUUGAUGCUCAAACAUAUUUUUCACCUAAUUUUUUUUUUUUUUUUGAGAGAAACAAACAUAAAAGCUUGUCGUGAAUUUGGAAGCUUGAAGAACAGAGGAGCUUGGUGGGUGGAAGAAAUAAAAAACUUAUGGAAAUGAUGUCAAACUGAAACUUCAUUAUCGACAAUAAAAGAGCCUGUAGGUCCUGUAAAGAAAGCCAGCUGCCUACAUUAAAUUAAGCACAAGCUGCAAAUUAGGUACUAAUGAAAUCAUUUAUCCUUUCAAUAUUGAUACAAUCGAAUGGAAGCAUAACCAAAUUUUGGUAUAUUCCAAUGUCAUAAUCUAGAGUCUGAAAAUUCAUAUAAAUGAAAUUUCAUAUGGAGAACCAUACAGAUAAAAUGCAAAGGAAACUUGCUCAGUUACAAAACCAAGACGCUCAGCUAGAGGAAUGAUCCCCAACAUUCUCAGAAGAAAACCCAACCCUGAAAAUUCACACAAGGAAAUCAAAAUCAACAGUAAAAGGAAAUGUAAUUUUCACAAGCUUCUUGAACGAACAAACACAUUGGCAACAAAAACAAACAGAAACUCUCAUGAGCACCAGAAGUUUUAACGACAACAAUUGCUACGGGGCCAAAAAUUAUCAAUAUGUUUAGUUUUGUAGAGAAUACAAAAACCUUGAUGAUCUCAAUGGCCCCAUUACAACUCCUGGUCACAUAUGCAUUUUGACCGCUGCUAACAUCUAAACUGCCAUUGGACAACUUAAAUGAAGGUUUCUUAACCGCCAUUGAACCUGGAUUCACUAGGCUCUAGUGUUCCAUCUCAAGCAAUGCUCUGUAUUCCAAUGAUCCCAUCUACAUAACAAAAAAUACCCUUUUGUGAAAAAUCAAGAGACCUUCAAAAUUCAUUGUAAAUGAAAGCAAAGAAAACAAACCUCAACUAUGGAUUGAUUUGAGCUAACAAUGGUUUCUCAUCAAUGUUGCUUCUGCUAUUAUCCAUUUUAUUGUAGACCAAAAGCUCCAUAUUACUCCUCGAUCUUGUACUCCACAGACAUCCCAUGUACAAAUAUAAAACUAAUGUUAAAUUCCCACAUGAAAUAUGCGCCAGAUAUUUAAACCCAUCAAAGUGAUGCAGCUAGGGAAGCUUCCAAGAAAGUGGAAAACUUUUUUACGUUAAAGUAUUUGAGUUAGAAAGUCAAUGGCUGGAUUCUUUUCUCAUAGGUGCCUAAAGGAAGAAAUUUGUUAUUAGGCACUAAUGGUUUGAUGUAGGGCAAUUGAAUUGCAUUGAAAGCAACGAGAAAACAUAAAUGAGAAAAUUAAGGAAUUUAACAAUAGCCAUUCGACUUGUGGCAUUCUCGCCAUCAUUUGAUUUGUGUGUUCAUUUUCUAUGAAUGAAAGGAAAAAAAAAUGAAAAAGAAAAAAAGUUAAAUACCCUUUUCACUCCUUAAGGUGCAAUUUCUCAUUAAUUGCUAAUAAUAAGGAUGAUCCUAACAAAUGAGCUGAACUGUUUUGGCUAUCCACAAUUAGUUGUGAUUCAAGUUGAAAUUCUGAACAAAUUCAAAAUAUCACACUUCAUUGGAAUUCUUCCUUUCUUUGAAGGGAAGGAAGAUUGUUAUAUUAAUCAACAAAAGCAUAUAUAUACAUUACAAAAUUCACACUAAACAAGCCCAAUAAUGUGCAGUUAAUCCUGAUCCUAAAUAUUAAAUUUCCCAAAUUCAUUGACCAUUGUGUCACAGGAACUCGAUUCAGUCUUGGGGCCAAUUUCAAUUUCCCAAAAUAACUCACCAUUGCUUCAUAUGAACCCACCUCAGACUUGACAUUCAUGUAAAACGUCACCAUCGGCGGCGGACUGAUCGUGUACUCCGGGAACAUAAACUGCAACAUACCCAGAACACUCGAAGCGUCAUUUAACGUGGGACUGACACCGUCAACCUCCGCCUUCAUGAUCUCCCAAACCGAAAAUGCCGUGACGUUAUCGAAGCCACCCAACUCUUUGGCCACUUCAAUAAACUUCCGGUGGCUGUUUGGAGUCCAAACGAGCGGCCGCUUCUGCGUCCGUACAUAAGGCGAGUAACGUCUUGUCCUCCGAUCAUGUAGAUAUAAUCUGAUAUUUCCGAGAUGAAAACGAUUGACUCUUCUGUCCCCUCUCAUUGCUCCGCUCAAACCCGAACCCAAACUCUUAAAAAUUGACGCGUGAUCCGCUGUUCUGAUCUCAGUUUGAUCUUAAGCUGAAAAUUGAAUCGAUUCUGUGUCUAUGCGAUGUCGUUUCGGAUGAUCACUAAACUUGCGGUGUAUUUAGAAAGUGAAAAGGGUAAACGUGCACGAAGCCCACGUCAAAUGUAUGCAAGCAAUAUUUGUCCCAGCAGCUGCUAUGUAUAUUAAACGCAGCGUUUUGAUUGUAAUAAAAGUAUAAAACGCGCAGCGCCACUCGGAGAAUCGUAGUAGCGAGGAAAUGAGAACAAAAACGCGCGGUGGCAGUACUGGAGUCCCUAAAUCCGCUUCACCAAGUAGAACUUCAACAAGUCAGUCACUUCGUUUCUUCAAUCACGAACAUGAACUGGUAUUUUCUCUCUGUCUCUUCAUCUUUCUCUGUUCGCUUCUCGAGAGCUUUUCCUUCUGCUUAGUUAACCAUUUCCUUUUUUGAACAAAAUGGCUAACUAAAGAUGCUCGCUUGCAACUGUUCAUGCAAAUGUGGCUUUUUUUUCUUUUAUAAAUGAUUCAAUAUGAUCAUUUUCUUUCCGUGAUUAUUCUCUUUUGUUACCGUUUGCAAAAUGUGUGUGUGUGUGUUUUUCAAAGAUCAGGGGAAGUCUCUAAAAUGAUACAUUGCUUUUUGAAAAUAAAACAUUACUUGAUGAUAUUAUAUGCUAAUUUUAACUUUUAAUUAAGAAACUUUUAAAUGACAACUUCUGAAAAUUUUAGUUGGAUCUUUACAAAGGAUGAAGCAAAUGGAGAAACAUUAAGCAAAAUGAAUGGCGAUGUAGAUAUGGCUUCUGCAUAUAAUGAUGAUGAGAUUGGUAUUCACAUAGAAAAUCAUAGUGGUUUGGGGCGGAGUGGAGAUUUUAUGGAUGUUGAUUUUUUGGAGGAAGAGCCUUGUAUUAAGUGUAAUAGACGUGGUGAGAACCUGUUGGUUUGUAGUCAAUCUGGAUGCCCAAUUUCUGUACAUGAAAACUGCCUGAGCUGUGGAGUUAAAUUUGAUGAUGUGGGAAACUUUUACUGUCCCUAUUGCUGGUAUAAACGUGAAUUGACGAGGACAAAGGAGUUGUGGAAGAAGGCUAUGGAAACAAAGAAACAGUUGGCAUGUUUUAUUGAUUCUAAAAGUUUUAGUGGUGAUAAAAAGAAGGAGAAUUGUAGAACAGAUAAAGGAAAUGAGCUGAAUAUGUCAUCUCUUCAUCAAGAGAGAAAUUACAGUUAUGGUGGUUGUGAGGAUCGAAGGGAUGAUGUUCAAGUUAAGAAUCUAAGUGAGGAAGUGGAGGGAGAGCUAGAGAAUGAUGGGGACAAUACAAAGACAGCUGAUUCCUGUGAUAAAUUUAAGAGGGCACUUGAGAAUCAGAGUAACCUUCUGGCUGUUCAUUCUCAUACUGGGGACAAGAUAAAUCAUGGUCGAGAGAAAACACCUGGGAUUGAAUCACUUGUGAAUUAUACUAGCAAAGAAAGGCCCAAUGAGGAAAAUGUCUGUGAAACUCAUGAGCUUGAACUUUUAGAAGAUGGAAAAGGGAUACCAUUGGAAGAUUUAGGAUGCGAUGAUGACAGUGGACGUGAAGACAAUGUCUGUGAAACUCAUGAGCUUGAACUUUUAGAAGAUGGAAAAGGGAUACCAUUGGAAGAUUUAGGAUGCGAUGAUGACAGUGGACGUGAAGACAAUGUCUGUGAAACUCAUGAGCUUGAACUUUUAGAAGAUGGAAAAGGGAUACCAUUGGAAGAUUUAGGAUGCGAUGAUGACAGUGGACGUGAAGACAAUGUCUGUGAAACUCAUGAGCUUGAACUUUUAGAAGAUGGAAAAGGGAUACCAUUGGAAGAUUUAGGAUGCGAUGAUGACAGUGGACGUGAAGACAAUGUCUGUGAAACUCAUGAGCUUGAACUUUUAGAAGAUGGAAAAGGGAUACCAUUGGAAGAUUUAGGAUGCGAUGAUGACAGUGGACGUGAAGACAAUGUCUGUGAAACUCAUGAGCUUGAACUUUUAGAAGAUGGAAAAGGGAUACCAUUGGAAGAUUUAGGAUGCGAUGAUGACAGUGGACGUGAAGACAAUGUCUGUGAAACUCAUGAGCUUGAACUUUUAGAAGAUGGAAAAGGGAUACCAUUGGAAGAUUUAGGAUGCGAUGAUGACAGUGGACGUGAAGACAAUGUCUGUGAAACUCAUGAGCUUGAACUUUUAGAAGAUGGAAAAGGGAUACCAUUGGAAGAUUUAGGAUGCGAUGAUGACAGUGGACGUGAAGACAAUGUCUGUGAAACUCAUGAGCUUGAACUUUUAGAAGAUGGAAAAGGGAUACCAUUGGAAGAUUUAGGAUGCGAUGAUGACAGUGGACGUGAAGACAAUGUCUGUGAAACUCAUGAGCUUGAACUUUUAGAAGAUGGAAAAGGGAUACCAUUGGAAGAUUUAGGAUGCGAUGAUGACAGUGGACGUGAAGACAAUGUCUGUGAAACUCAUGAGCUUGAACUUUUAGAAGAUGGAAAAGGGAUACCAUUGGAAGAUUUAGGAUGCGAUGAUGACAGUGGACGUGAAGACAAUGUCUGUGAAACUCAUGAGCUUGAACUUUUAGAAGAUGGAAAAGGGAUACCAUUGGAAGAUUUAGGAUGCGAUGAUGACAGUGGACGUGAAGACAAUGUCUGUGAAACUCAUGAGCUUGAACUUUUAGAAGAUGGAAAAGGGAUACCAUUGGAAGAUUUAGGAUGCGAUGAUGACAGUGGACGUGAAGACAAUGUCUGUGAAACUCAUGAGCUUGAACUUUUAGAAGAUGGAAAAGGGAUACCAUUGGAAGAUUUAGGAUGCGAUGAUGACAGUGGACGUGAAGACAAUGUCUGUGAAACUCAUGAGCUUGAACUUUUAGAAGAUGGAAAAGGGAUACCAUUGGAAGAUUUAGGAUGCGAUGAUGACAGUGGACGUGAAGACAAUGUCUGUGAAACUCAUGAGCUUGAACUUUUAGAAGAUGGAAAAGGGAUACCAUUGGAAGAUUUAGGAUGCGAUGAUGACAGUGGACGUGAAGACAAUGUCUGUGAAACUCAUGAGCUUGAACUUUUAGAAGAUGGAAAAGGGAUACCAUUGGAAGAUUUAGGAUGCGAUGAUGACAGUGGACGUGAAGACAAUGUCUGUGAAACUCAUGAGCUUGAACUUUUAGAAGAUGGAAAAGGGAUACCAUUGGAAGAUUUAGGAUGCGAUGAUGACAGUGGACGUGAAGACAAUGUCUGUGAAACUCAUGAGCUUGAACUUUUAGAAGAUGGAGAAGGGAUACCAUUGGAAGAUUUAGGAUGUGUUGAUGGCAGUGGACAUGAGAAGAUUGCUGAAGACCAACUGCAAGAAGAGCCUUACACUGCUUGUUGUGUUGGAGAAGAAUUUGUCGUUGAUAUUUUACUUAAUUUAUGGAAAGGGGAUAUACCUGACACUGAAAAAUUGAAGGAACAAAGGCGAGAAGAAGAAGAGAAUGUAGACCCCACAACAUUGAGAACUGAAAUGUCUGAUUCUGAUAUAGAGCCAACGUCGAUGCGCCUGAGGUGUGUUGCAGGAAGUAGUAAGAAGGCACAAUCUCGGGGUGUUGAUUCACCAAGAAAGUUGCGCUCAUCAAAGGGUGCCAACCCAAAGAAAACAAAAUCUCAGAAUGUUGACUCAUCAAAAAAGUUAUCCCCACCAAAAGGUGCUAAUUCAGAGAAAAUAGCUCAGGCUCGAAAUGAGAAAUCAACUGCCUCCAAAAAGUCUACACAAGUUUCCGGUGGAAAAUUGUGAGUAGCAUGUGCAGUAUAUUAGAAAGUUUAUACUCUCUCAUAGGAUUUCACGUUGGAAAUAUUCCAAUUUGGUUGCAAAAUAGGAGUUAGUUGUGGUAUUUGUAUAUGCUUCUUAUACUGAUUUGGAAUUUAUUGUUCCAUUUCACAUUGCAGCACAAACUUCACAUUUGCUUCUGAAAAACGUAGGAGAUUACAUUGGACAGCUGAAGAAGAAGAAAUGCUGAAGGUAUGGAUUCAUGGUCAUUGCUACUGUUUGCUUUCAACCCAAAUCACUGUGCUUGUGUUUCCAAAUAAUGUCCUUUGGUUUUGACAUCUACUAUAAAUCAUGAUACUGAUUUCACUUAAUGAAAUAUUUGAAUCUGUAUGAGAUUGACAAUUGAUUCAAUUUCAUUUAACGCAUUGUUGAAAUUAUUCUGUCUCUGAAAGGGUUUUCCACCUUUACCUAAUAUUGUUUGAUUCCUUAAAAUCUUUCUUACAUUUCAAUUCGGUAGCUCAUUUCUAGAAUUUAGAAGCUUUUCCUUCACUACUGCUUUAAAAUUGAAUUAUGAGAAUAUAUAUAUAUAUAUGUAUGUAUAGUAGUUUUCUGGUCCGGGAUUUUAAAGUGCGGGAAAGUCCGGGAAACCUUUAAAACCGCACAGUUUUAAAGGCUUACAUUUUUAAGCCUUUUAAACCAUGCGGUUUUAAAGUUUUCCCAGACUUUCCCGCACUUUAAAAUUCCAGACUGUAACAUUUCUAUAUGUAUGUAUGUAUAAUGCAUCUCAUAUUGUACAUUGUUUUCAUGUUUCUAAAUGCAAGUAAGAGUAAGAGCUAAAUUCUAAAAAGCUGAAUUGUUGUUGUGAUUCAAUCUUAAAUAUUCAAGAUGGAUUAGUGAAUUAGAAUCUAUUCAAGAUUUAAUUUGCUAGCUUGUUGAUAUCUACUCUCAUAUUGCAGGAAGGAGUGGAAAAAUUUUCAACUAAAGUAAAUAAAAAUCUUCCUUGGAAGAAAGUUUUGGAAUUUGGUUGUGAUGUUUUUGAUCCUACUCGUACUCCAUCUGAUCUCAAGGAUAAAUGGAGGAACAUUAUGUCCAGAGAGUCCUCAGCAAUCAGCAGAAAGUAAUUUGGUCAUGUAUGACUCGACAUGCAAAAGGUAAUAUUUUAAAAUCCUUAGAAGUUCAAAUAUGUGCUGUGCUUGCAAGUACAUUCAUAAAUACAUCUCACUCUUUCUCUCAGCUGUGUGGAAACUAUUGCUUCUGAAAUAGUUGGGUUGUCUUGGUUGAUCAAAAGAAACUCUAGGAUCUAAAUUUCUAUAAUACAUUCAGCAGGUUUUAUGUUAUAUAAACUUUUUUUGUUUUUCGUGUUAUUUAGACUGCUUCUGCCGUCACUAUUUCUGUAUACAGCAGCUCGUUUACUAAACUGUUUCGUUUACCCUUCUUUGUGGGAUCAAGACCUUAGUUUCCUGUAUAUCAGACUAUUUGUGUGAUUAUUCAAUGCCAUUAGUGUACGUACCCAAGAUUCCUUUCCAUCACCCAGUUGGAUGACUUAAUUAAAGGACCGAUGAUACUUGUUUUAGAAUAUUUUGAACUAAGUGGGUCAGUUAGCAUGACAAUUCAAAUUUUCCAAAUUGCACUCAUAUAGCCGAAUUUUUGAGUUUUAAUACUCACAUAAUAAGCCUUUUUUAUGACAUUUAAAGAUUUUUUUUUAUAUUGUCUCUAAUUGUCAUCAGCUCGUUCUCUCUAAAAUUAUGUGCAAAUUUCUUCUACUGUCGUGCAUAAAUGCUUAGGCAGACCAGCAGUAUUUCGUUUCAUUUUGUAGACAUUUCAGCACUCCUAAAACCAUCAAGGAAAGGGAAAUAAUGUGCAGCAGCAGUUAGAUCUUUUUUCAGUAUUCUUUGAAUUUUUUUGCCAGUGGGCCUAAGGAAUGUAAAUUGCUGUCUUGUAGAUGGCACGUUCUGGGUACUAACAAAGAAAACAGAGCAAUUUUGGUCAGUUGAAUAGUUAACUGAAGCAAAGAUUUGAGUUCACAUUGGAGCUCAGGAAAAUGAAUUUAACAAAAAUAUUUAUGAAAUAAAGUGCUUUUUCUUUUCUUUGACUUGGAUGUUCAAAAUCCAAAUGUUGAUUUUUCUUCUGCUGUACGGCCAAGGCGGAUGUACGGUACAGCAGCAUUCCUUUGCCUUCCAGCUGCUUCAUAUAUCACAGGGCAGAUUAUUUGUGUCGAUGGAGGGGUGACUGUGACUGUGAAUGUGAAUGGAUUGCGCUCAACUGGAAAUUAGACAAAUCCUCUUUGUUCUAGCCGGUAUUUCCAGUCAGUCAAGGUUUCUUUUUUCUUUUCUUUUCUUUUCUUUUUUUUAGAGUGCCAGAAGCUGUACUGAAAUCUUUCUUGUAUAAUAAAGUUGUGUCUUUUAAUCAUGAUAGUUUUAAUUAUGAAGCCAAUGCAGCGUACAAUUUCAUCUUCCAAAAACCCAAUUAGUCAAGUCACCAAAGAAAUAUUAUUUUGUAUUAAAUGGCUAUUCAAAGUUUGAAAAGGGUAACAGGUUGAAUUUAC
rnacentral:lncRNA from 1 species